GACGCAAGACUUCAUGCACGAGACUCGAGACGAGACCAAUGAAAGUCUCGUCUUGUCUCGUCCGAGUUAGUCCGAGUAUCGUCUCGAGUCUCGUCUCGAAAACGAGGCGAGACCAUGCGAGACUCUCGAAAACGAGACUCUCGUGCGAACCACUAAUGAAAACAUGAGAAAUAUGCUGUUCUUACUACUUCAGGUUGGGUACACUUCACCAAUCUUCGCACCAUAAAAACUGCACUCGCGAGUCUUCUACAAAGGGCACUCACAUGGUCAUCCCAGGCAAACGGGAAACAAUCAUCGAAGACUGCACAGAAUAUAUUAUGAAAAACAUCAUACAACUCACCUGCGUUCUCGGAUUUUUGGAGAGGCUGCCAAUCCACUGUGGAAAGAGCGAUUUUAAAAAAAUCUUUGUUGGUUAUCAUCAGUAUUUGUCCGUAGUGGUCACCGAUGUGAAGCUGCAUCGUGGUGUUUCUUAGACAAUUGUUAUUUAGGUUACAAAAUAUAUUAUCAAUACAA